rnacentral:rRNA from 1 species
GACGAACGCUGGCGGCGUGCUUAACACAUGCAAGUCGAACGAUGAAGAAAAGAAUCGAAGCUUCGGCAGAAAUUCAUUUCGGAUUAGUGGCAGACGGGUGAGUAACGCGUGAGCAACCUACCUCUUACAAAGGGAUAGCCUCGGGAAACCGGGCUUAUUACCAUAUAACAUUGCGACGAAGCAUUUCGAUGCAAUCAAAGCUACGGCGGUAAGAGGUGGGCUCGCGUCCCAUUAACCGGAUGGUGAGGUAACGGCUCACCAUAGUGACGAUGGGUAACCGGACUGAGAGGGUGAACGGUCACACUGGAACUGAGACACGGUCCAGACUGCUACGGGAGGCAGCAGUGGGGAAUAUAGCACUAUGGAGGGAACGCUGAAGCAGCGAGGCCGGGUGAGUGAUGAAGGAAUUCGUUACGUAAAACUCUGUUCUAUGGGAAGAAAAGGACUGUACCAUAGGAGAAAGCUCCGGCUAAAUACGUG